rnacentral:rRNA from 1 species
UAGGGAAUCUUCCACAAUGGACGAAAGUCUGAUGGAGCAACGCCGCGUGAGUGAAGAAGGUUUUCGGAUCGUAAAGCUCUGUUGUAAGAGAAGAACGUGUGUGAGAGUGGAAAGUUCACACAGUGACGGUAACUUACCAGAAAGGGACGGCUAACUACGUGCCAG